rnacentral:rRNA from 1 species
AAACUCAAAGGAAUUGAGGGACCCGCACAAGCAGCGGAGCGUGUGGUUUAAUUCGUUGCUACACGAAGAACCUUACCUGGGUUUGACAUAUAGGUUGUAGGGAACUGAAAGGGACCGACCCUUCGGGGAGCCUAUACAGGUGUUGCAUGGCUGUCGUCAGCUCGUGUCGUGAGAUGUUCGGUUAAGUCCGCUAACGAGCGCAACCCUCGUCGUAUGUUAUAUGUGUCAUACGAGACUGCCGGUAAAAGCCGGAGGAAGGUGAGGAUGAUGUCAAGUCAGCAUGACCUUUAUAUCCAGGGCUACACACACGCUACAAUGGUCUGUACAAUGGGUAGCCAAGCCGCGAGGCGGAGCCAAUCCUGAAAGCAGGCCUCAGUUCAGAUUGCAGUCUGCAACUCGACUGCAUGAAGCCGGAGUUGCUAGUAACCGCAGGUCAGCAAUACUGCGGUGAAUACGUUCCCGGGCCUU